CUGGCUGUUAUAAAUAGGUUCUGAUGUCUGCCCCUGUAGCUCACUGGGAAAGAAUGCAAACAGUCCCAGGAAUGAAUACUCAGGAAGGCUUCGCUGCCUGAUCUGGGAGGUAGGAGAAAGCUGAGAAGGCUAAAAAGAGGGGAGCUGACCCCUGAAACGGAGCAUGGAAACUAGAAGAGCAUUGGGUACUCCUGCCAUAGGGUACGGAUGCGGAUAU
ensembl:lincRNA